ACCUGGUGAUGUGGGCAUUUACGGAUGAGCAGGUCCCUAAACCGCUCCCAAGUCUCGAAAAAGAAUUCCCCAUCCAUUUGUGAGAAACUUGUGAUUGCUCUCCAAAGCU